UAUAUACUCCCUCCGUCCCAAAAUUCUUGUCUUAGUUUUGUUUAAGAAUGGAUGUAUCUAAAUACUAAAANGUGACUAGAUACAUUUAUAUCUAACAAAUUUAGCACAAAAAUUUUGGGACUUGAGGGAGUAUCUG
rfam:Hordeum vulgare subsp. vulgare, WGS project CAJW01000000 data, contig: morex_contig_1565426